CCACAACAGAAGAGAGCUGCCGGGGACCAAUAAUGAUGAUGCACCGGUGUUUUACGAUCUAGGCACAGAAGAUGACGGUGGUAAGACGAGUAAGGAAGUUAGUGAAAAGGUUAUUGUGUGCUUUUCAAUGUGUCAUUUGGUCAGGCCAUGUUGUGCCUGGAUCGUAAAACACUGCUGCAUCAUCAUUAUUGGUCCCUGGCAGCUCACUUCUGUCGUGGC